rnacentral:lncRNA from 1 species
CAUGAGGGAUCCAUGUGAAUCCAGCACACAUCCAUGUCUCAGUAUGGCAGCAUUGACUGUGCUUCUUCCAAGCAACAUGCCUUUUUAUUCCCUCAUCUUCUGAACAGCUGUUAUUGGCAUUCAGAGAAGCACGGUGUAAAUGCCUGGACAAAAAGAGAUGGACAAUGCACUUCUCAGACAGAUGUCAGGGCAUCCAGAGAACUACUUCAAGACCACUUCCAAUCGACACUAAUACCAUGCUGAAGCAUCAGAUCAAUACUGGCUGGGAUGCUGAACCCUUCCCCUUGAAUCCGCAGCCUCAUGUCAAUUGGCUCUUUACUAAAGGAUGGAGAUGCUUCCUGGAGCUUGGAGAAAAUAUCCUUAUCUUUACCCUUUCAAGUCUCUGUCCCCAUGACCCAGCCAUUCUUUU